UCCACUUACUAACUCGCAGUAUAUCCAUGGGGUCACAACGAGAUUCUCUGUGGUAACCAGGAUCAACAAACAGCGGUUAGCUAAUCCGGCUCAGGUCCCUGUUGCAUUCCACUGGGCCAAUAAAGUUAUUCCAAAGGAUAUGUAACACCAGGGGGGACUGUGACCUCAGUAGAGGUACUGAUUGAGGUUCCUUCCGACCCUUUCUCUUCAUUCUCGUCAUCUUCGGAGAAAAAGGGAGAGAGACAGAGCCAGCGAGAGAGAGAGAGAGUAAUACAAAGAAAGGAGCAAGAGAGGAAUGAGAAGCAGUAGAGUUGACUCCCUCCAAAGUUGCCCCCGUUUUUCUACUGUUGAUCCAAGACAGAAAUAAAAUGAGGCUGGUUCUCUCGGAUAUGGAGGAGGAAAGAGUCUCUACAGAGUGGCUUUGUCAGGCUGGAUACAGUAACGCUGAUCCAGACCGAUCCAGUGAGAAGAUUGGACAGGAAUAGGAGAUAGUGAGGCGAUCGAGUUCUGUUUACCUUCAUCACAGCCACUGCCACCAAAGGCUACGCUGUCAAUUAUUAACAGCCUUCUAAGUCUUAA